rnacentral:sRNA from 1 species
CUCAGCUAGCCUCCCAGGCUGCACCGAAAGCAGUCGGUCCCACUUGGAUGGUGAGUUCCCUCAGGAUCACUAUUAUUCACGCUAUACGGGUGAGUGAAGAGAGGCACAGAGACCUUGAAUGGUGUGCUCGAAGUCAUGCCGUCAUUCCUAAGGGUACUUGAUGCCUGUCAGCUGGAGCUGAUGAAGUUGAUUGAGAAGAGACCAGUGGUGAUGUUGUAAAAUCUCCUGGGAAGUGAUCCUUAGAGUCAGCUCACAGAAGCUGUGUUCUGGAGGUAGCCAAGGUUGUAUCUUGUGCUGGCAGCUUCUUGUAGCAAAAGAGUAACCCAGUGGUACUGGUUUUGAAGGCAUGAAGAGCAGCUGAGACUUGGCACUGAGAGGCUAGGAGAGGCCAUUUUGUGAAAGUGCAGCCUCAGUGGCAG